GACGAACGCUGGCGGCGUGCUUAACACAUGCCAGUCGAACGGAAAGGCCCUGCUUUUGUGGGGUGCUCGAGUGGCGAACGGGUGAGUAACACGUGAGUAACCUGCCCUUGACUUUGGGAUAACUUCAGGAAACUGGGGCUAAUACCGGAUAGGAGCUCCUGCUGCAUGGUGGGGGUUGGAAAGUUUCGGCGGUUGGGGAUGGACUCGCGGCUUAUCAGCUUGUUGGUGGGGUAGUGGCUUACCAAGGCUUUGACGGGUAGCCGGCCUGAGAGGGUGACCGGCCACAUUGGGACUGAGAUACGGCCCAGACUCCGACGGGAGGCAGCAGUGGGGAAUAUUGCACAAUGGGCGGAAGCCUGAUGCAGCAACGCCGCGUGCGGGAUGACGGCCUUCGGGUUGUAAACCGCUUUCGCCUGUGACGAAGCGUGAGUGACGGUAAUGGGUAAAGAAGCACCGGCUAACUACGUGC
rnacentral:rRNA from 1 species